GCGGGGAUAACCAAGUGGUCAACGGUGACAGACUCAAGAUCUGUUCGCGUAGGCGUUCAGGGGUUCGACUCCCUUUCCCCGCA
rnacentral:tRNA from 2 species